rnacentral:rRNA from 1 species
AUUGAACGCUGGCGGCAGGCCUAACACAUGCAAGUCGAGCGGAGCGGCGGACGGGUGAGUAAUGCCUAGGAAUCUGCCUGGUAGUGUGGGAUAACGUCCGCAAACGGGCGCUUAUACCGCAUACUAUCAGAUGAGCCUAGGUCGGAUUAGCUAGUUGGAGGGGAAAAGGCCUACCAAGGCGACGAUCCGUAACUGGUCUGAGGGGAUGGUCAGUCACACUGGAGCUGAUGCACGGUCCAGAGCCCGAAGGGAGGCAGCAGGAGGGAAUAUUGGAAAAGGGGCGAAAACCAGGUACAGGCAUGCCGCGUGUGUGAAGAAGGUCUUCGGAUUGUAAAGCACUAUAAGUAGGGAGGAAUUACCAGCAGAAUAAGCACAAGCUAACUUCGUGCCAGCAGCCGAGGUAAUAU